AGAGUUUGAUCCUGGCUCAGGACGAACGCUGGCGGCGUGCCUAAUACAUGCAAGUCGAGCGGAUCUUGCUUGAGAGCUUGCUCUCAAGCUUGGUUAGCGGCGGACGGGUGAGUAACACGUAGGCAACCUGCCCUCAAGACCGGGAUAACAUUCGGAAACGAAUGCUAAGACCGGAUACGCAAUUCUGUCGCAUGACGGGA
rnacentral:rRNA from 1 species